rnacentral:rRNA from 1 species
AACGAACGCUGGCGGCAUGCCUAACACAUGCAAGUCGAACGAUGCCUUCGGGCAUAGUGGCGCACGGGUGCGUAACGCGUGGGAAUCUGCCUUUCGGUUCGGAAUAACUCAGGGAAACUUGAGCUAAUACCGGAUAACGUCGCAAGACCAAAGAUUUAUCACCGAAAGAUGAGCCCGCGUAGGAUUAGCUAGUUGGUGAGGUAAAGGCUCACCAAGGCGACGAUCCUUAGCUGGUCUGAGAGGAUGAUCAGCCACACUGGGACUGAGACACGGCCCAGACUCCUACGGGAGGCAGCAGUGGGGAAUAUGGGACAAUGGGCGAGAGCCUGAUCCAGCAAUGCCGCGUGAGUGAUGAAGGCCUUAGGGUUGUAAAGCUCUUUUACCCGGGAAGAUAAUGACGGUACCGGGAGAAUAAGCCCCGGCUAACUCCGUG